UUUUUGAUUGACUUAAUUUUUUUAUUAUCAUAAUACGUUUCAUAACUAUAAUAUGUAUACAAAAAUAUAAACAGACAUACAUACAAACAUACAUACAUGCAUGCAUACAUAACUUAAUCAUAACAUACAAUUUGACGAUAUUUGGAAAUUACAAACUUCAAUAAGUAUAUAUAUAUAAAAACAUGUACCACAGGAAUCUGUGAGUAACACAAGUCACAAAAAUCACUUAGUACUUGGGUUAGCUAAUAUCUAACCUAUAUUACUAUUGAUUAUAAAUGUUGGACUUGAAUUUUAAUAUCUUUUAAAAGAAUAAAUAAGGGAAAUAAUUCAAUAUUUGAAUAGAAAAAAUAAACCUGCAAUUCAUAGAUGUGUUAAAGUUAUGCAUACUAAAAUAAAAGCACUUAUACACCUAUAUGCCUAAAUAAAAUUUGGUAACAUUUUUUUUCAUCAAAUUUUUAAUUCAAAUUUUAGCGAAAUUUAGCAAAAUAUUUAUUCAAAAAAAUAAUCUACUCUUAAUAUUUUUUUUUAAUAUUCAAAGAUACAGACAAUAAAAACUAUAGAUACGCUAAAUAAAGGAUUAGACUUUGGAAUAAAGCACCACAUAUGUAAAAUAUUAAAAAUUGAUCUGUUGAAUAUUAAAAAGAUUUACAAGUACUUACAAAAUAACAAUAAUUAUUGAGACCAAGUAAAAUAAAAACGUAACUGCAGUCGGUUUUAUUAUACUGAAGAAACUCACCAAUAAAUUAAUGGUAUAAUAAAUAUUGUGUCCUAUAACUUUACAUUUUUUUGAUGUCAUUAUCUUAACUUUUAUUAUAGGUACUUGUAAACUAAUUUCAGUCUCUUUCUCAUUAAAAUAUUAUUAAAGUCUUUUUUUUAUUCCAUAAAAGUUUCCGUUAUAAUAAAUAAACUACACAGUAGGUAUAACUGAAAUUUAAAAAAAAAUCGGAUUUUUAUGAUCUGCAUAUAUUAUAUUUUCAUUAUUAUUAAACACCGUAAUGGAAUGUUAAAAUAUGAAUGAACAAUUAAUUAGACUGAUAAUAAUUCAGCCUAAAAAUGUAACUUAGCUUACUUACCUGUAAUCAGGUACUGAUAUUUUAAAUAAUUAUAGCUAAAUAAUAUGGAAGUUAGAAGAUAUCAAAAAGACCUUAAAAUUAAUUAAAAUAAAGUAAAGAAGCAAAAAUUAAAUCAACAAUUUGACAUCAAAAAAACUAAUGAACUGGGUGGACUUACAGAAGAUUUUUACAGAAAUAAUAAAUAAUAAUUAGUACUAGAUAUUUAGCCAUUUAAUUUUUAAAUGUGUAAGCAUAGAAUAAAAUUAUGCAAUAGUAUUUACAGUAUAGUUUUCAAAUCAUUUUCUUCAAUUUUUAUAAAUAUAUAUAGUUUUAAAUCAAUGAAUUUUAAUAUUAUAAUCAAUAGAUCAGUAAUAUUAUACUCCGAACUUGAACAACAAAUUUUGUAAAAACCAAUAUUCAAUGUUUUCUUUUCAAUGGUUAUUAUUUUGUAAAUUGUAUUCAUAAUUUUCAAGAUUAGCCUAGCAUUAAAAAUAUCCAGUUUUAGUGUUGUUAAUUUAUUUUUGUAUUGGACUCUUUUUCUUCAAUUUACCCUGUGUAUUUGAUUUUUUUGGAAUAAAUUGUUAACACAUCUAUAUUUGAAUAAUCUCCAAUAAGUCCACCUGUUAUACUAUUGCAUACAACAAUCUGUUCUAUAUUUUUUUUUUAUUUAUGUAAUAAUUGUUAUUAUUGUAAACAAUGUUGUAAUGGAUUUUUUUUAUUCAAUGAGAUCACAUUAGUUUGUAAGCAUAGUAUGGAAAGUAAUUUGAUAAUUUGGUGUUCAAUACACAACUGCAUAUUAUGUACGUAAGCAACAAAGUUGAAAGAAAAUACUUUUAAUAUUACUUAAUAUUAGAUACAUUAUACAGAAAUUGACUUGAUUCUUUCAAAAUUAUUAGUAAAUGCAAACCCAACAAGUUUUCUAUGAAUUUAUAUGUAUUUUUUUUAAAUAUUUAAGUAUUAUUUUUGUAUAAACUAAAUUGCAUACCUUUUUUUGAUUAUUAUGAUAUUAUGUUCAUACACUCAAUUAUACUAUUCAUAAGAAUUUUUACUCUAAAAUAUUUAGCAACAAUAAUAUGAUUGAAAAAUUAUGUUAUUUUAGUCUGAAAUUAUUAUAAUUUAUUUUUAAUUUUUUUCCCCCAUUGGUUAUGGAAGUGGUUAAAUUAAGUAGGUAGUUAUUAAAGUAAACCAUACCUACAUACACAUGUAUUGUUAUUUCUGGUACUGGGUGGCAUUACAGGGUGAGUAAAAAAGUAAAAAUAUUACAAUGACUUA